GAGGGAGGAGCCAGCGGCGCUGUCCGCCGUAGGGGCGGGACGGCAGCGCGGGUGGGCCGGUCGCCGGGCCCUUCGCGUGGGAAUUCCCGCGGAGUUAGGUCCUCUACUUCUGCUGGGAACCCGAUUACGUGCGAGAGCUCAUGGGCCCGCCUCUGCCCCUCCGCCCUGUGGGCCCCGUGCCGGGGCCUCCAUGCUGGUGGGCUCCGUGCCUUGCGGGCGCUGCCGAGCGGCGGGCGCGGCCUCAGGGUCAUCCGUGGAGGCACCUUCCCUUCCCCCCACCGCCAGAUGAUGCAGCCUCCCCGCCUUCUGUCCAGUCGUAUUUUGGAGCACUGGCGGCGUUUGUUCCAGGAUCUUCCGUUGUUAAUGUGUUCAGGAGACGUGGCACUGAAGCUGGAGAACAGCAUGUACAGUAUAGAAGGCCCUUAGGUUGUAAAUGCCUGCUGUACCCUCAGAUGCUUGAGUUUACAUAGAGAUGUGUAUUUCUGGACAUAAUACAGAAGAAACUGGUCAACAGCUGGGAGACUGGAAGAACUUUUGCUUGUGCAAAAACGAGUUGUGCAGCAGAGCCCGUGAGUUGAAGAUGAAUGAAGAUCAUUGUGAUAAAUGUUUUCCAAAAACUUGUUAUACAGGAUGGCUGUGAAAAAACCACUAAGAGGACAACUGCAUCUAACAAGCAUAUAGGUUACCUGCAGAUGAAUGCUCAAGUCUUUAGCAGUGGUGUUUAAAAAAUCUUCAUUGCCUCAAAGGUUCGGCAUACAACUUUUUGGAAGGAAAAAUGAACUGGUCAAGAAGACAUGAAUGGAAGCAAAUGAUAAAAAUAUUUUAUUUAACAUUGAUCAUCUCACAAUAAAUUACAUAUAAAAUUA